UACGUAGGGGGCUAGCGUUGUUCGGAAUUACUGGGCGUAAAGCGUGUGUAGGUGGUUGCCGUAGUCAGGUGUGAAAGCCUUGAGCUCAACUCAAGAAAUGCACUUGAUACUGGGCAGCUAGAGGACCGGAGAGGAUAGUGGAAUUCCCAGUGUAGUGGUGAAAUACGUAGAGAUUGGGAAGAACACCAGUGGCGAAGGCGGCUAUCUGGACGGUUUCUGACACUAAGACACGAAAGCGUGGGGAGCAAACAGG
rnacentral:rRNA from 1 species